rnacentral:sRNA from 1 species
UGAUUCAGUGUGAGCCUUUGGAGGCCCCGGAGCUGGGUACCAUGGACUGUACUCACCCUUUGGGAAACUUCAGCUUCAGCUCACAGUGUGCCUUCAGCUGCUCUGAGGGAACAAACUUAACUGGGAUUGAAGAAACCACUUGUGGACCAUUUGGAAACUGGUCAUCUCCAGAACCGACCUGUCAAGUGAUUCAGUGUGAGCCUCUAUCAGCACCAGAUUUGGGGAUCAUGAACUGUAGCCAUCCCCUGGCCAGCUUCAGCUUUACCUCUGCAUGUACCUUCAUCUGCUCAGAAGGAACUGAGUUAAUUGGGAAGAAGAAAACCAUUUGUGAAUCAUCUGGAAUCUGGUCAAAUCCUAGUCCAAUAUGUCAAAGUGAGUAAGUUUGUCCUGGAAAACUGAAGUCUUAACGAUGGAGCGGAUGGAUGAGCAGAUAUGAGGAAAGACAUACAUAAACAUUUACAUGUUGUUUUGCUAAGAAUAUGUGGCCUAGAAAUAAAUUUGUAUGCUUAACUCACUGUAAAA